rnacentral:rRNA from 1 species
AGUAGUAUACCGGUGUCCCGGAGUGUGGUGUUUAUUACGAUUUUUAAUAUGAAGAACAAAGACACCGAUGUUUCAAUGGGUCAGCGACAGGAAACAGAGAGAAGAAGUCUCCGAACUCCUACCAAACGGAACACGUAACGUGACGUAUCCCGACAUUUUGAACCUUCCAAAGACUCCGUUCGUCGUCGUCGUCGGUACCUCGGACGGCCACGAUCGAACCAGAGGGACUCCCGUAGGUGGCGGUGCUCGGCGUCGACGAAGAGUACAGCUGUCGUUCCCUGCGGGUUCUGGUCCUACGAAGGCCGGUACCGCAGGUUCAGGCCCCGCUUUGACCACCGAAGUCCGACGUUCUGUACGUCCCCCUUCCCACGUCACCUUACGCUUCCGACGUUCCCCUGUCCGUCCUUGUUCUUCUUGCCGUUGUAGAAGCUCUCUACCUUCACGAAGCUGACGGUCCCCAAACCCUACUCCUUCACGGGGUGGACGCCGUUCCCUCCGGAGUGCGGCCUCGUCUCUCCUCUUUCUAUCUUCUUUGUCGGUUCGUAGGUAGGUAGGUACCGUCUACGUGAGAGGUCACAGUAUAAAUAGUACGAGUUGAAACUAGCUUGAGACUGAUGAUAGAUCUUCAUUCAUAGUGGGUCUUAGCGGUUCGUUUUACAGCUUUUGGCUUAUACCACUAUGUGUAUUAACCAAACUCUUGACCGUCAUAUUACGGUUCGUCUUACAACACUCCUUUAGUUGACCAAAGACGCGCAUAACUGACCAAACGUACGAAAACUUAGAUAUACGACGUUCAUAAAACAAAAACAAAAAACAAAAAAACUUAUAUAAGUCAAACAGCCUUUAUAAUAAAUUUUUUGAUUCACGGAGAGGACCCGCUACCCACCACGAGUACACUCCGACGUACACCGGGGAAACGCGUGAAUCGAUGUCACGUGGUUACGCGGCGGAGUCCCAACGCGGGUAACGUCACCGACGGACCACCCGAAAGGUAUGCUACAAGUUAAAGUUAUCUUUAAAAACGGGUAAUUCAAGUAGACUCGGUAUACUACCUAUUUAGACAAUUCACUAUUGUUCAAAUACAUAGGUACGAUUUAACAAAUAUACAGAUCAAGUCGGUUGCCUUAGCGUUUUA